rnacentral:rRNA from 1 species
AGCUAAAUGCGGAAGAGAUAAGUGCUGAAAGCAUCUAAGCACGAAACUUGCCCCGAGAUGAGUUCUCCCUGAGACUUAAAGUCUCCUGAAGGAACGUUGAAGACGACGACGUUGAUAGGUCGGGUGUGUAAGUGUAGCGAUACAUUGAGCUAACCGAUACUAAUGAACCGUGAGGCUUAACCUUACAACGCCGAAGGUGUUU